rnacentral:rRNA from 1 species
AGCGAACGCUGGCGGCAGGCCUAACACAUGCAAGUCGAACGAAAUCUUAGUAGUUGCUGGCUCGUACGGGCGUAGAGCGGAGGACGGGUGAGGAAUGUAACGAAACCUACUUUUACGCUGGGGCUAAUAUCGGAAAAGAUACGCUAAUACCGCAUAUAACAUUCGGGUCAAGGCCGGGGUUUUUAUGACCUUUUGGGUAUGAAUGAGCCGAUGUUGGAUUAGCUAGUUGGCGGGGUGAAGGCCUACCAAGGCGACGAUCGGUAACUGAUCUGAGCGGGUGAUCAGCCACACUGGAACUGAGACACGGUCCAGACUCCUACGGGAGGCAGCAGUGGGGAAUCUUGCGCGAUGGGCGAAAGCCUGAUCCAGCCAUACCGCGUGAGUGAAGAAGGACUUCGGGUUGUAAAGCUCUGUUGUUGGGAAAGAAGGACAGUAUGUUAACAGGCCACUGUAGUGACGGUACCCAAAGAAUAAGCCCCGGCUAACUUCGUG